rnacentral:rRNA from 1 species
CCUACGGGAGGCAGCAGUCGAGAAUCAUUCACAAUGGGGGAAACCCUGAUGGUGCGACGCCGCGUGGGGGAAUGAAGGUCUUCGGAUUGUAAACCCCUGUCAUGUGGGAGCAAAUUAAAAAGAUAGUACCACAAGAGGAAGAGACGGCUAACUCUGUGCCAGCAGCCGCGGUAAUACAGAGGUCUCAAGCGUUGUUCGGAAUCACUGGGCGUAAAGCGUGCGUAGGCUGUUUCGUAAGUCGUGUGUGAAAGGCGCGGGCUCAACCCGCGGACGGCACAUGAUACUGCGAGACUAGAGUAAUGGAGGGGGAACCGGAAUUCUCGGUGUAGCAGUGAAAUGCGUAGAUAUCGAGAGGAACACUCGUGGCGAAGGCGGGUUCCUAGACAUUAACUGACGCUGAGGCACGAAGGCCAGGGGAGCGAAAGGGAUUAGAUACCCGAGUAGUC